rnacentral:rRNA from 1 species
UACGUAGGGGGCCAGCGUUGUCCGAAGUUACUGGGCGUAAAGAGCGCGUAGGCGGGUCUUUAAGUGAGGGGUGAAAGGUUUGGGCUCAACCCAGACACUGCCUUUCAUACUGGGGACCUUGAGUGUGGGAGAGGCGAGUGGAAUUCUUGGUGUAGCGGUGAAAUGCGUAGAGACCCGGAGGAACACCAGUGGCGAAGGCGGCUUCCUGGUCUGCGACUGACGCUGUGGCGCGAAAGCUAGGGGAGCAAACGGG